rnacentral:rRNA from 1 species
ACUCCUACGGGAGGCAGCAGUGGGGAAUCUUCCGCAAUGGGCGAAAGCCUGACGGAGCAACGCCGCGUGAAUGAUGAAGGCCUUCGGGUUGUAAAAUUCUGUCUUCAGGGAAGAAACAAAUGACGGUACCUGAGGAGGAAGCCCCGGCUAACUACGUGCCAGCAGCCGCGGUAAU